rnacentral:tRNA from 2 species
UCUUCCGUAGUAUAGUGGUCAGUAUGUGAGCUUGUCAUCAGACUCCACCAAGUCGUGACAUCGCUCGAGACCCGGGUUCAAUUCCCGGCGGGAGAG